rnacentral:rRNA from 1 species
AGUGAACGCUGGCGGUAGGCCUAACACAUGCAAGUCGAACGGCAGCACAGUAAGAGCUUGCUCUUACGGGUGGCGAGUGGCGGACGGGUGAGGAAUACAUCGGAAUCUACUUUUUCGUGGGGGAUAACGUAGGGAAACUUACGCUAAUACCGCAUACGACCUACGGGUGAAAGCAGGGGAUCUUCGGACCUUGCGCGAUUGAAUGGGCCGAUGUCGGAUUAGCUAGUUGGCGGGGUAAAGGCCCACCAAGGCGACGAUCCGUAGCUGGUCUGAGGGGAUGAUCAGCCACACUGGAACUGAGGCACGGUCCAGACUCCUACGGGAGGCAGCGGUGGGGAAUAUUGGACGAUGGGCGAAAGGCUGAUCCAGCCAUACCGCGUGGGUGAAGAAGGCCUUCGGGUUGUAGAGCCCUUUUGUUGGGAAGGAAGAGCAGCAGGUUAAUACCCCGCUGUUCUGACGGUACCCAGAGAAUAAGCACCGGCUAACUUCGUG